rnacentral:rRNA from 1 species
UACAGAGGUCCCAAGCGUUGUUCGGAUUCAUUGGGCGUAAAGGGUGCGUAGGCGGCGCGGUAAGUCGGGUGUGAAAUCUCGGGGCUUAACUCCGAAACUGCAUUCGAUACUGCCGUGCUUGAGGACUGGAGAGGAGACUGGAAUUUACGGUGUAGCGGUGAAAUGCGUAGAUAUCAGGAGGAACACCGGUGGCGAAGGCGGGUCUCUGGGCCGUAACUGACGCUGAGGAGCGAAAGCAUGGGGAGCGAACAGG